GUGGGAUUGCAAGAUGGCGACGAUCAGCGGCGUCCGGGCAGUUGCCGGGGCUCUUCUGCGCGCCCAGGGCCGCGGGGCCUGGAGGACCCUCAGCGCCGCCUCCGCCGCCCCCCAGCAGACACUGCGAAGCCAGACAGAGAAACAUGAAGGGAUGUUCAAGGUCACCAUGCUGCCUGGAGAUGGGGUUGGCCCGGAGCUCAUGCAUUCUGUCAAAGAGGUGUUCAAGGCUGCUGGUGUCCCUGUGGAGUUUGACGAGCACCACCUGAGCGAAGUGCAGAACAUGGCGUCAGAGGAAAAACUGGAUGAGGUUGUUGACUCUAUGAAGCAGAGUAAAGUGGCCAUUAUAGGAAAGAUCCACACUCCCAUGGAGUACAAAGGAGAACUGGCUUCCUAUGACAUGAGGCUCAGGCGCAAGUUAGACCUGUUCGCCAACGUUGUCCAUGUGAACAGUUUACCUGGUUUUAAAACACGGCACAACAACUUGGAUCUUGUGAUUAUCCGGGAGCAGACGGAGGGGGAGUACAGCUCUCUGGAACAUGAGAGCGUGAAGGGAGUCAUCGAGUGCCUGAAGAUCAUCACCCGGGACAAGUCGCAGCGCAUCGCCAAAUUCGCCUUUGACUACGCCACCAAGAAAGGGCGUUCAAAGGUCACAGCAGUGCACAAAGCCAACAUCAUGAAGCUGGGGGAUGGGCUCUUCCUCCGGUGCUGUGAAGAGGUGGCAGAAUUGUAUCCCAAGAUCAAAUUCGACACCAUGAUAAUUGACAAUUGCUGUAUGCAGCUGGUGCAGAACCCCCACCAGUUCGAUGUCCUGGUCAUGCCAAACCUGUAUGGAAACAUCAUUGAUAACCUGGCUGCUGGCUUGGUGGGAGGCGCCGGCGUGGUUCCCGGGGAGAGUUACAGUGCCGAGUACGCGGUGUUUGAGAUGGGUGCUCGCCAUCCCUUUGCCCAGGCCGUGGGCAGGAACAUUGCCAAUCCCACUGCCAUGCUGCUCUCUGCCGCCAACAUGCUGCGGCAUCUCAACUUGGAAUAUCACUCCAAUGUGAUCUCUGAUGCGGUGAAGAGGGUGAUUAAAGUCGGUAAAGUUCGGACGCGGGACAUGGGCGGUUACUCCACCACCUCGGACUUCAUCAAGUCUGUGAUUGACAACCUGCACCCACACUAUGGUGUCUAGGUCCCCACCUGAGUGUGGGAGUUCCUUGGACUUCACUCUGAUCUCCAGCACCCAUUUCUAGUGUACAAACCGAAUGGACCUUUCUCGCCCUGCUCCCACCCCUAGGGGCGAACCUUGGGCUGCUGGAGCCAGCCCGCCUGAAACCGCAACCCGAAGGGGGAAGGGACUCGCCUCUCCCCCAGCCCAGUUAUCAGUUACCAACCUCAGUCGUGGUCAGAUGGUCACCACAAAGAGACGUGGUCUGAGUGCAGGAUUGGGAGCCUGGGGUCUGAUCCUGGCUCUCCCACUGGUUCAUUGUGCAGCCUGGGGCGAGCCAGUUCACCUCUCUGUGCAGUAGGGAUAGCGCUCACCGCCCUACACUGCACGGGAGUUCAGGGUCAGCUAGGUCACAGUGCUUUGUACAGUGCUUUGAAGCUGAGAGAGGACAGCCUAAAUAUUCCACUGCUGCUCCAGCUAAGGCCCCCCUGCAGUGUGGCUGACCGGGGCUGUCACGUCCACGUGCUCUCGUCUCGUCCCUGAUUGCUGCUGCAGGAGCAUCUGUCUACUCCAGAGGGGCUUCGCCGUAGCUUGGGACCAUCCGGGGUGGAGACAAAUGAAGUGACAAAUGGAGUCUAGUAUUGGCUUGGAGUGAAGUAGAAUUUCAUCCCUGUUAAUCUGAACAGAUGGAAAGUGCGGACGGCAGACAUGGGCGGAUACGCCACAUCCAUCGACUUCACCCAGGCUGUGAUUG